AGUCAUUCUGUGGAACUUCCUCUGUGUCUCUCACUGGAGCCGCCUAACUUCCUCUCCCACCUCCCUUCAUCAAGGAGCAGUCUCAUGCCCAGGAGCUAGAAAUGUAGGCUUUGCCGGCAUUGGUUGAGCUGUGCUGGGCCCUAGGCAGCGAUGACUCAAACUUGACCCUUAACCCCCAGGCAGGGGUCUCCCUCCCUCCCCGUCCUUAAGUGGGGCGGGCACUUAGCCCAGGGUGGUGAUAUGACCCAGUCCUAUCCAAUCACCAUGGUCCCGCCUCCUGGCUACCACAAUUGGCUCAGGGAUGAGCACGUGGCCCAUAGCAGCCCAGUGAGAGUCAGCCCUGGGUGGGAACUGGUGGGAAAGAAUUCUGCUGGAGCAUCUGGAGUUGCUCAAAUGGAGUGGCUGUGGCCAUCUUUCCUUACACGUGGGGAGGAAUCAGCCUGAGAAUGAAACCAUCACAGGAAAGGGCUGAAAGACGGCAAGUUUUCACUGGGUCUUACCCGACGUGAGCCCCCACUCCUCCAUAUGGACCUGUUUUGGACCAAUGAGGCAUCCUCUUCUGUAGUCCUCAACACGCGGAGCUCCAC
rnacentral:lncRNA from 10 species